rnacentral:tRNA from 1 species
GGCGCCGUCGCCAAAUCCGGUAAGGCAAUCGCCUGCAGAGCGAUCAUUUGGGGGUUCAAAUCCCUCCGGCGCCU